rnacentral:tmRNA from 2 species
GGGGGCGAACUGGUAUCGACCGGAUAGUCUGAAGUGUAAGUUGCGUGUCGUGGUUGGUCAGCAGGCCACGUAAAAAGCAGACCAAACAAUAACUGCAAACGAUAACUUUGCACUGGCUGCCUAAUUAGUUGUAGCCCCAACUGAGGGUCUUUGUCGGAGAGACCUGAAAGUUGGAUGCCAAUUCCGACUCGCCAAAGGUCACGUGGAGCACGCCUGAGGUUAAAAACUGUUCUCCUCUAGUUUCCUGGGAAUCCUGCCGGUUGGAGGCCCAGGUUACGAAACUUAAAUAACCGAAUACACACGUAGACGCUUGCAUGGAAAUAUCGCGGCACGCGGGUUCAAUUCCCGCCGCCUCCACUU